rnacentral:rRNA from 1 species
GACGAACGCUGGCGGCGUGCUUAACACAUGCAAGUCGAACGGAAAGGCCCUGCUUUUGUGGGGUGCUCGAGUGGCGAACGGGUGAGUAACACGUGAGUAACCUGCCCUUGACUUUGGGAUAACUUCAGGAAACUGGGGCUAAUACCGGAUAGGAGCUCCUGCUUCAUGGUGGGGGUUGGAAAGUUUCGGCGGUUGGGGAUGGACUCGCGGCUUAUCAGCUUGUUGGUGGGGUAGUGGCUUACCAAGGCUUUGACGGGUAGCCGGCCUGAGAGGGUGACCGGCCACAUUGGGACUGAGAUAAGGCACAGACUACUACGGGAGGCAGCAGUGGGGAAUAUUGCACAAUGGGCGGAAGCCUGAUGCAGUCAAGCCGCGUGCGGGAUGACGGCAUUCGGGUUGUAAACCGCUUUCGCCUGUGACGAAGCGUGAGUGACGGUAAUGGGUAAAGAAGCACCGGCUAACUACGUG